AACCAGCACCUCAAGUGGUCAGGAGGAUUAUUGGGCCUAAAGCAUCCGUAGCCGGCUCUGUAAGUUUUCGGUUAAAUCUAUAUGCUCAACGUAUAGGCUGCCGAAAAUACUGCACAGCUAGGGAAUGGGAGAGGUAGACGGUACUCGGUAGGAAGGGGUAAAAUCCUUUGAUCUAUCGAUGACCACCUGUGGCGAAGGCGGUCUACCAGAACAUGUUCGACGGUGAGGGAUGAAAGCUGGGGGAGCAAAC
rnacentral:rRNA from 1 species